UGGGGAAUAUUGGACAAUGGGCGAAAGCCUGAUCCAGCCAUGCCGCGUGUGUGAAGAAGGUCUUCGGAUUGUAAAGCACUUUAAGUUGGGAGGAAGGGCAGUAAGCGAAUACCUUGCUGUUUUGACGUUACCGACAGAAUAAGCACCGGCUAACUCUGUGCCAGCAGCCGCGGUAAUACAGAGGGUGCAAGCGUUAAUCGGAAUUACUGGGCGUAAAGCGCGCGUAGGUGGUUCGUUAAGUUGAAUGUGAAAGCCCCGGGCUCAACCUGGGAACUGCAUCCAAAACUGGCGAGCUAGAGUAGGGCAGAGGGUGGUGGAAUUUCCUGUGUAGCGGUGAAAUGCGUAGAUAUAGGAAUGAACACCAGUGGCGAAGGCGACCACCUGGGCUCAUACUGACACUGAGGUGCGAAAGCGUGGGGAGCAAACAGG
rnacentral:rRNA from 1 species